rnacentral:rRNA from 1 species
UACAGAGGGUGCGAGCGUUAAUCGGAAUUACUGGGCGUAAGGCGCACGCAGGUGGCUGAGUCAGUCGAUUGUGAAAGCCCUGGGCUUAACCUGGGAAUUGCAGUCGAUACUACUCAGCUAGAGUAUGGGAGAGGGUAGUGGAAUUCCCGGUGUAGCGGUGAAAUGCGUAGAUAUCGGGAGGAACAUCAGUGGCGAAGGCGGCUACCUGGCCCAAUACUGACACUCAGGUGCGACAGCGUGGGGAGCAAACAGG